rnacentral:rRNA from 1 species
CGGGACGGGUGGGUAAUGUCUGGGAAACUAGCCUGAUGGAGGGGGGUAACUACUGGAAACGGUAGCUAAUACCGCAUAACGUCGCAAGACCAAAGAGGGGGACCGUUCGGGCCUCUUGCCAUCGGAUGUGCCCAGAUGGGAUUAGCUAGUAGGUGGGGUAACGGCUCACCUAGGCGACGAUCCCUAGCUGGUCUGAGAGGAUGACCAGCCACACUGGAACUGAGACACGGUCCAG